GGGUGGAACAAGAUGGGCAGGGGCAAGGGCACGAUUGCAUUGACACCUUGAACUCUGCUCAGUGUCCCCAAAUGGAAUCAUCACCUUUCCCCUCCAUUGCAACAUUUUUCCAGCACCUCUGGCCUGGGAAAUGCCAAAAUUAUACAGAAGUCGGUCAAAGUGCAAAAAUCAGGUGACAGUGACAGACCUGAUGGCCUGGGAUGGGGGACUCAGGGUCACUGGUACCCACUUUGUAACCUCACCUCUCCCUUGACAGAAAAGGACAAACUGAGCUGAGUGUGGAGCACUUCUCAGCCAACUCCAAAUGGGCCUGCCACCCAAGUAAAGCUGCACUGUCACCCACCACCGCUGGAGGCUUGGAAUUGGGUUUGUGGGCACAGAGACUGGAUUAGGGGCCACCAGGAGAUACCAAAAUGUCUUGCCAAUCUGAAGUUUCUAAAGAAAACUCUGGCCAAUGGGAGAUGAGCACAUGGCAGAUCCCUUGGCCCUGCCCAGAUUCAGGAAAGAGAGAGAAAGGGGAUAAGAGAAAGGACAGAAAUGGGGAAAUUGUAAAGACCAGUCCACCUUAAGGAGGCAUAGAGACAGGAUACUAAAUGGGGAAUAGAGAAGCACAGAGAAACUUUGAGAUGCCCUGAGAAAGACAUGGUUAGAGGAACGGGUGUUUGAGAAAUUCGUAGUGGCUCCUUUGCACCAGGUAUCGAGCAUAGGACCUCAGUUGAGCAGAGCUCAGCUGUCUACUCUGGAGCGUAGGUCAGUGGUGAGUGGAUCAUGCUGGGUUGCUUGGUGAAGCAUCAGGGCCAGCAGCCCUGUCCGAUUCAUAAUGGCUGUGCGCACCUCUGCUCCUUCUCAACCAGCUCGUGCAACUGUGGGGGUAAGUGUGAGAAGGGGCUUGUAGGAUCCCAUGCUGCCCCUCAGCCACACUCAGCCUUGUAACCCACUGCACGAACACACUCCAGGUCCACCUCAGCACGCCUCAGCUUCGCCCAGCAAUAGUGGAGGUUGCAGAAGCAUUUGGGGAGAUGACAGAAAUCAUCAGUGACCUCAAAGACAUUGUGCACUAGUGGACAACCACACACCUCAUCGUCUGGAACCUGUGGGCAGAAAGAAUGAUGAGGUUGAAACAAAUGUAGAUAAGACUAGUGCAUGAUUUUGAACUGCUUCUGGAUCCAUGCCAGGAAAUCUACUUAAACGCCUAUCUUGAAGGUCAUCGUUUCGCCCUUACUAGAAGUCGGAUUGAGGCGUGAAGAUGAAGAGAUGCCAUGGAAAGGGACCAGAAUAAAGGGAGACAGCUGAGAAAGGAGGAGGAGGGUUUGGAGAAAGAGAAAGUGACUUUAGUUCUCCCAUUUCCUCUUCCAUUUUCCUACAUCUUCCCAAAUAAUGUAACCUUCUUCCUAGGAUGAUAUUCAACCUGUAAACACAAGUAUGUCCUUUGCUGGAGAUGAAAGUGCAAGUGUUAGUCGA